rnacentral:tRNA from 1 species
GCGCGAGUGGUGGAACCAGGAAGACACGCCGGAUUCAAGUCCCGGUACCGCAAGGUGUGAGGGUUCGAUUCCCUCCUCGCGCACCA